GCACACUCACGGUCACGCGCCCCGCAGGUGGAGCGGCCCCCCGCGGGCCCGCGGUGGCCCCGCGCCCCUGCCCCGGCCGUACCUCUGCGGCGGGCUGUGCAGGGACGCGGCGCCCGUCCAUGGAGCCCGAAGGCCGGCCUCCGCGGCCCACUCUCGCUCCCCGCCCCGCCGCGGCGACAGCGGCAGGUUCGAGUUCACAACUGCCAGGCCCGUCCCCAACCUCCCCCCGCCGGGUUCCCAGCGCCACGUGACUACAGGAGCUGCCGAGGAGAUGGGGUCUCACUGUGUUGCCCAGGCUGGUCUCAAACGAUCCUCCCGCCCCAGCCUCCCAAAGUGUUGGGAUUACAGAUGUGAACCACUGCAUCCGGCCUACCUUUUCAGUUGUUGAUAAAGAAAAUGAGUGGCAAAGGAGUUGCGAAGGGAUUCCUGAGCCUUUAUGCCAGCUGGAAGCUUAAGGCCUUGGUAUUUGAGACUUCACCCUUCAAAAUGUCUUGGAGGAUGGCCCAGCAACCAGCCAAAUGGCCCAAUGGCCUAGCCCAGUGGAGACGGUCUCAGCUUUUGACAAGCUAGCCGGAGAAAGGGCUGGACAGGAAGGGGCCCACUGGACAGCGAAUAUUGAUAGGGCCCCUGGGAGGAUCAAUUUUCCCCUCCAACAGUGCCUGGCUCCCAUUAUCAGAUUAGAUGCAAAGUGGGCUGGCAUGCCAGGGGGUGACAGGAACAGUGUCUCCAGAAAUCCUCUGUGAAGACACCCAAGUAUUGUUCAGAAGUGGCCCUGUAUCUGGAAGAGGGAAAACUGCACCCACUUCUUGCAGACAUACAGUUCCAGCUCCCCCCACAGGACUUGCUCAUACAUCCAACAAAUAUUUAAUCAGUGCCCACCAUCUGCCACUGUGCCAGGUGCCCGGCCUCAUCAUGAGUCAGGCAGAGGUGGUCUGUGCAGUUUUCCCACAAUGUGAGAGGGUGCUGAGAAGACUUUUAACGCUUAUUUAACUACGGAAAUAACUCUUGGUUUGGUACCUACUACAAAAUAAAAACAAGCGCUUGUUGAUAAUUUCUGGAUGGAUGACUGUGGAAAGCUGGAGGAGACUGAGGAUCAAUUUGCUCUAAUGAACCUUCCCUUGACUAUCAUCUCCGUUACCUCCUGCCGCAUCCCUACGGCAAAUAUGCAAGACUCUCACGCAGCUAAUUUCCAGGGGUUUGCAGUCUGGGGAGGAAGCAGAAAGCACAUCCCUCACUGACCCUGAGGAGGGGCAAAUCUCUGGUAGCAGUCACAGGUACGUGCUGUACACACUUCCCAUCCUUUGAGCCUUCCCAGCUGGAGAGCACCAAGAGAACGCAGUUGGGGAGGCCCCGAAAGAUGAAGGGUUGUUGAGCUUGAAGGCAGUGAAAAAGUAAAUGGAAGAAAGCUCUCUGCCCUCCACUGCCUAAAUGCAGGAUAUAGAUUUAGAAGGAUAAAAGGGGUCUGCUCCCUCUCUCGACCAGGGAAAAGUUAACCACUGAAGACAACUUUAGACUCUUAUGGGCCUGGAGCUGGAACCAGAGGAAUGGACAUGAAGGCGCUUUACUAACUCUAUUUAUCUGCCAGUUACUUACCUUUCUACAAGUUCUCCCCUUAGACACUCAAAGUUCUUUUCCUUUGUCCUGUCGCUUCCCUAAAACUUGGCUUUUCUUUGUUGAAGAUGCUAUACAAGCUGGAAUUCAAAGCUACCACUUUGAGAACUACUCAAUUCCUGCGUGUCUCCCAGGCAGAUGUGAAAUACACAUGUUAAUAAACUUCCACUGGUUUUUCUCUUGUUAA
rnacentral:lncRNA from 1 species